rnacentral:lncRNA from 1 species
GAAAGACAUUAUUUAUAUGUACUUAUAGGGAAUUAGCAGUUACUUGCGGAGAACAGGAGUGACAGUAAAGCAGAAUAGCUACAGACCAUGAAUUGAGAAAUGAAAAUAUGCAGAUGUAAAUGUAUAACAUGGUGUAUGUGGGAAACAUAGCGGACAGGAAGCAAGUAAGACAAUGUGAAGUAACGGUAACAUAGAAUGACUAGAGACCAUUAACUUCAGAACUGAAGAGGUCUUUAAUCUAUAUGGUGAAUGAUGGAACCAUGGUGGAGCUUUGGAUUUAUAAGGUGUGAAGUUACAGGAAAGCAGAAUAACUACAAACCAUGAUAUUUAGAAAUGAAGAGAUGCAUGUUUUUGUUCAGCAUGGUGUAUAUGGUAAACAUUGUGGAUGGCAGACAUGAAAUGAUUUGUGCGAAGUAACAGUAAAGCAGAAUGGCUACAGACUUUCAAUUCAGAAUUGAAGAGAUGCAGGUCUUUGUUCUAUAUGGUGUAUGAGGGAACCAUGGCGAAAAUUUGGAUUUCAUGGCAGUCAUAGAAAUAUCUAAUAAGUCUAUAGGACAGUGACGUGUGUACCAGUUUGUCAGGCUAUCACAUGUCUGUCCAGGUGACAAAUUCGCUAUGGAUGCGUAGGUUCUCAGAUGAUUUGGCAGAACUUUUCACAGUCAUUAAGACAGAUAUGAAAAGGUCUAUAGGACAGUUAUGUGACAGUGUGUAUAAUUCUGUAAGGCUAUCACAUGUUUGUCCAGUCAACAAAAUUGCAGUGGGUGCAUAGAAUCUCAAAUAACAGGGGAGAACUUUUCACAGUCUCAAAGACAGACAUCAAAAGAUUACAGAUAGCCAAACUAACACCUUCCCCGGGAUUCGAACCAACAACCUGAUAGAAAGAUUUACCUGUUGUGCAAACAAGAUGAGCUGGCUUGGUGAAAGGAAAGAGAAAAAGGAAAAUGACCUCAGGAAAGACACGAUACAGCAGGUACAAGUUCCUAAGGACAAGAAUGUCUGUCAUUCAUGGAAACUUCAGAGUUCAGCAGCUUCUUGAAACAGUCCAUAGAGAGAUAGUAGGAGGACUUUGGUUGAGUGUUGAGGGAUGUUCUGAGCACAAGCCUCUGGCACAAGCCAUGAUAUCUAGAUAUAUUUCCGGCCAGGCAGCUGCGAAAACCAAACAACUCUUUAUAUCAGAGAAUCUGUACAAAAGUUGAAUGAUGUAAACAUAGAGACCUACACAAAUGAUCAGGUGAUGGAAGCAUUGAAAACAGAGGGAGAUGUUGUAACAUUGACUAUCCAGUAUUUCAAAGCAGCUGGUUUGUUCCUUAACAAAUCUUCCGACGAUUGUAAGUAUACUGCUUUAAACUUGAAAUUGUUAUUUAUAAAAGCUUCACUGGAAGAAACAAUCUCCAUAACUCUGUUUUGAAUUUUGACAGAGUGAUACUCCUUUAUAACUUAGAAUUAUUUUGUUAAAGUUUUAAUAUAAAGAUCAAUAUCUGCUACUGUCAGAACUUAAAUUUAAAAUAGUUAUACACUAUCAAAGUCUACACCAGAAGAAAGAAUCAUCAUAACUCUGAUUAUAUUUUUGAGUUAAGCGACUUUUACAGGCAAAGCUCUUAUUCAAGCACUGAAGAAAGCCCAGUGUGCUGUCUUAUGGACAGUUCUGUUGCAUGUGAUGUGAUAGUUAAUUCAGGAAAAAAGUGCACACUCUUCAGUCACUGACUUUUUAGAAUAUUUUGUAAUACUAUAUUUUUAUUAUGCCUCCGAAGGGAGGCAUAUUAGUUUUCAACUGUCCGUCCAUUCAUUUGUUCGUUCGUUCGUCACAAUGUUAAGGCCCUUUA